rnacentral:rRNA from 1 species
GACAGAGGGUGCAAACGUUGUUCGGAAUUACUGGGCGUAAAGCGCGUGUAGGCGGCUCGGAAAGUCGGGUGUGAAAGCCCUGGGCUCAACCCAGGAAGUGCAUUUGAAACUUCCGAGCUGGAGUCCCGGAGAGGAUGGCGGAAUUCUCGGUGUAGAGGUGAAAUUCGUAGAUAUCGAGAGGAACACCGGUGGCGAAGGCGGCCAUCUGGACGGUGACUGACGCUGAGACGCGAAAGCGUGGGGAGCAAACAGG